GCGGCAAGCAGCUUGUAUAUUGUACUUACAUCAUUCUUAACCCUUCCGUUCCUGGAGGGGGCUUGGCGGGAUCAGGGGAUCCCUGAGCUCCGGAACACGCAGGACCUGGAUGUGAGAGGAGAGUCCCAGAGCCAGGGGAUCAGUGUUUAAAUUGAGUGAAAACAUAAAGGAUCUAAGACCUACUUCUAUCUGUAAAAGGUUUCCCAGGUGGCAGUGGAAAGAAGUCCUUCUUGAUGUAUGUUUCAAAUAAAGGAUUUAUUUGUCAUCUUUGGUUUUCAGCAGUUUGACUAUCAAGUGCCAUAUAUAGUUUUCUUCAUAGUAGUCCUGCUUGGAGAUCCUUGAGAUUUCUGAAUCUAAUUCCCCCCUUCCCACUUUCCAGUGUCUGUGGUUGCUCUGAACUCUGUCUUCUGAUUCCUCAGGCAAGAAGGAUUGUGGUUUUUCUACUGGAGUUUUAGCCACCUUGUUCAACAUCAACUUAUUUUUGCCCUCAGGCUAAAGGUUGUAAAACAAAUGGGAACCUCCACCCUUGCUUUGGUUCGCUCUCCAGUGCCUUCAGUUUGUUGCUUUUAGUAUUUUGUCGAGAGUUUACAGUUGUUAUAUGCAGGAGCGUCAGAUGCGGUAAAAGCUUACACACCCAUGUCAUAAGGGGAACUGUGAUCAGUUCUUAAUAUGAACUUGAUCUUAUAUCCUUUGUGCCUACUUUGGUGUCAUGAUGUCUUGUUAUUUCUGCAUGGAUGAUGUACCCUUAUUUCUCUUCGAAAUCCUCCAAAUAUUAUUUCAAACUCAUUUUUAUGUUUUAUGAAAUAAAUUCCACUUCAAAUAUAAUUUAUUUUUCUCAUUGCUUUUUUUCAGCUUCUUAUUUUAAAAAAAAUUUGUUUUAGAAUUUGCAGGCUUAUUUUGAGUGCUUUUGUUUUCUCUAUUCCCUGUAUUAUUGGGCUGUUUUAUGUGUUUUGUUUGUUUUAUUUUUUUUUUUUUUGGCCAUGCUGCAAGGCUUGUGGGAUCUGAAUUCCUCAACCAGCGACUGAACCCAGGCCAUGGUAGUGAAAGCUGAGUCCUAACCACUGGACUGCCAGGGAACUCCCUGUUUUAUGGCACCCACUUAGUUCUCUGGGUGCCCAGUUGAAAACUAGGAUUUAUAAACAUACUUCAAUAAUAUACGGGAGUAUGGCAGACCUGGUAAGCAGUUUAGCUGAGCUUCUAGUAGCAAGAUUGUACUUUUCCUUGGGCUCACAGCUACCAAUAAGCUACAGCCCCCACCAGCAAGUCUGCCAAAUUUUUUCUCCUCUUCCUUUCACAUGUGAGAGAACUCACAUCAGGCCCUGAUUUCAAGUAGCGACACUACUAUUCCUAUCUUGCAUGAAAUACUUUUAGCUCCUCUUCUUCCACAGGAAUCAAAUUCCCGGUGGCUGUUGCCCUAUUUUGACCUGGAUGGAAACCCCCAUCUACUCUUUGGAUAGCCUGGAUAUUAUCUUUUCUAUAAAUCUGAGUAUGUCUUUUUGAUCUCUCUUAGUAUUUCACCCAUUAUUGCUAUGUGUUUGGAGUAGAUGGUGUUUAUAAAGCAUGACCUCAUUGCGAAGUUUGACCCUGAAGUUGACAAGUCCUUUUGUCUUGUCUACUAUACGCAGCAAUGCUUCUAUAUAUUCUUUUGCUUCCCCAUUUUGUGUUUGUCAGAAAAAACAUUUAGUUUCCUUUCCAUGUUCUGCUUAAGCCAGUAGAUGCAAUCUUAUUUGUGUGAAGCAGGCCUCCUGAUUUUUAGAAUUAAGGUCAAGAAGAUGGAGUUAGUGAGUAUUUAUAUGUGAGGUGAGAUAUCAAGGGGAGGAAGGGAUGAUAUUUUUGAAAAGGAGACAUUAUAAUUUGGGUGUUAAGAUAAUAGGAUGCGGCCAAGAUGGAGUAGGGAGACCCUGUGCUCACCUCUUUCCAUGGGCAUACCAAAAUUAUAAUUAUUUACAGAGUAACAAUUGAUGAGAAUGACCUGAAGACGAGCAGAAAAGAUUUUCUACAACAAAAGGUAUACAGAAGGAACCACAGUGAGAUGGGUAGGAGGGGCAGAGGCACAAUACGGUCCAGGUAGGCAACCCACAAAUAGGAGGUUGAUCACAACUGCAGAGGUCCUCCCCAAGGAGUGAGGAGUCCAAGCCUCACACUGGGCUCCACAGCCUGGCGGUUCUGCAUCAGGAAGAUGAGCCCCGAGAAUGUCUGGCUUUCAAGGCUGGUGGGACUUGUAUACAGGAGAGCCAGUGGGCUAUAGGAAACAGAGAAUCUGCUCUUAAAGGGCACAUGCAAAAUCUCACACAUUCCAAGACCCAGGGCAGAAGCAGUAAUUUGAAAGGAGCUUGGAUGAAACCCACCUGCUGAUCUUGGGGAGCCUCCCAAAGAGGCAGCAGGCAACUGCGACUCCUCUUGGGACAUAGACACUGGUGGCAGUCACUUUGGGGAGCUCAUUUUACUAUGAGGACACUGGUGCAAGAAAGCACCAUUUUGGA